rnacentral:misc_RNA from 1 species
GAUGAAGAACGUAGCGAAAUGCGAUAAGUAAUGCGAAUUGCAGAAUUCAGUGAGUCAUCGAAUCUUUGAACGCACAUUGCGCCCUGUGGUAUUCCGCAGGGCAUGCCUGUUCGAGCGUCAUUUCAACCCUCAAGCUCUGCUUGGUGUUGGGCCCUGCCCGCUCGCGGCCGGCCCUAAAGACAGUGGCGGUGCCGUCUGGCUCUAAGCGUAGUACAUCUCUCGCUCUGGUGCCCGGCGGUGUCCUGCCAGAACCCCCCAACUCUGUGGUUGACCUCGGAUCAGGUAGGGAUACCCGCUGAACUUAAGCAUAUCCAAUAAGCGGAGGA